AUUUUCUUAGUAUAACUCAUACAAGUGGCCUCCAACUACUUAUUCUUGGUUAAACCCCAAGAGAAAAUA
rnacentral:tRNA from 1 species